AACUUUUUGACUUUUUCUUAUCUUUCCAAACUUGGCCUUAGUGACAUUCCGGUCGUCUUAUUAUGUUUUUCGCCAAUUCUCAGAUGGUACUGAAGCAAAAAAUUAGGAUUAAACUUGGGUCAUAUUGGGUGCAAUUUGUAGAGGAUUCAUGCAAGCAAAUAACGGAUGUUGCAAGGACUACCAGUGCAAAGACCAUGGGUCCUGUGCCAUUACCAAUCAAGAAGCGAAUUUAUUGUGUACUUAGAUCUUCACAUGUCCACAAAGAUGCCAGCUUGACCUUCCUGCCGAGGUUGAUGUGAAGUCAAGCUCUGAGAAAGCGUUGCUACAGCUUUGAUGAGCACUGUAUGUUCACACUUCUUUAUUUGAGAUAGGUUAGACUCCUCCUCUUACAACUAUAUAUGAGAAUUCCACCUCAUACAGCCCAAGCAGAAAAACACUAAAAUACUAGUUCCAAUGGAUAUGUAAUGAAAGUUUGAAACUUCUUAAUCUUUGAUUCAAUCUUUUCUAUGGUGUAAGAAAAUUGUGAAAGCUCUUCUUUGUGGCGAUAAUGGCCAAUUAUCAAGUGGGCUCAGUUGUCUUUAUCUUGA